AAGUCGUAACAAGGUUUCCGUAGGUGAACCUGCGGAAGGAUCACCAAAGAGAACUUGCCCUUCGGGGUAGAUCUCCCACCCUUUAUUUAUCACACUUUGUUGCUUUGGCGGGCCUGCCUCACGGCUGCCGGCGUAAGCUGGCUCGCGCCCGCCAGAGACCCCAAACUCUGAAUAUUGUCGUCUGAGUAAUAUAUAAUAAGUUAAA
rnacentral:misc_RNA from 1 species